rnacentral:rRNA from 1 species
UUAAUGAAUUGACGGGGCCCGCACAAGCGGUGGAGUAUGUGGUUUAAUUCGAUGCAACGCGAAAACCUUACCUGCCCUUGACAUCCUCGGAACUUGUCAGAGAUGACUUGGUGCCUUCGGGAACCGAGAGACAGGUGCUGCACGGCUGUCGUCAGCUCGUGUCGUGAGAUGUUGGGUUAAGUCCCGCAACGAGCGCAACCCUUGUCAUUAGUUGCUACAUUCAGUUGGGCACUCUAAUGAGACUGCCGGUGACAAGCCGGAGGAAGGUGGGGAUGACGUCAAGUCCUCAUGGCCCUUAUAGGUGGGGCUACACACGUCAUACAAUGGCUGGUACAAAGGGUUGCCAACCCGCGAGGGGGAGCCAAUCCCAUAAAGCCAGUCGUAGUCCGGAUCGUAGUCUGCAACUCGACUACGUGAAGUCGGAAUCGCUAGUAAUCGUGGAUCAGAAUGUCACGGUGAAUACGUUCCCGGGUCUU